GAACGCUGGCGGCGUGCCUAACACAUGCAAGUCGAACGAAGCAUCGCGCCCGACAAAGAGGAGUGCUUGCACAAAUCGGAGUCAAUUGUGAUGACUUAGUGGCGGACGGGUGAGUAACGCGUGGGUAACCUGCCCUAUACAGGGGGAUAACAGUUAGAAAUGACUGCUAAUACCGCAUAAGCGCACACUACCGCAUGGUAGAGUGUGAAAAGCCGAGACGGUAUAGGAUGGACCCGCGUCUGAUUAGCCAGUUGGCAGGGUAACGGCCUACCAAAGCAACGAUCAGUAGCCGGCCUGAGAGGGUGAACGGCCACAUUGGGACUGAGACACGGACCCAAACUCCUACGGGAGGCAGCAGGUGGGGAUAUUGCACAAUGGGGGAAACCCUGAUGCAGCCGACGCCGCGUGAGCGAAGAAGUAUUUCGGUAUGUAAAGCUCUAUCAGCAGGGAAGAAAAUGACGGUACCUGACUAAGAAGCUCCGGCUAAAUACGUGCCAGCCGCUGC
rnacentral:rRNA from 1 species